rnacentral:rRNA from 1 species
UGUCAGCAGCCGCGGUAAUACAGAGGUGGCAAGCGUUGUUCGGAUUUACUGGGCGUAAAGGGUGCGUAGGUGGUAUAGUGUGUCGGGCGUGAAAGCUCAUCGCUCAACGAUGAAAUGUCGCCCGAAACUACUAAACUAGAGUGCAGGAGAGGAGAGCGGAAUACUUGGUGUAGCGGUGGAAUGCGUUGAGAUCAAGUAGAACACCGGUGGCGUAGGCGGCUCUCUGGAAUGUAACUGACACUGAGGCACGAAAGUUGGGGGAGCAAACAGGAUUAGAUACCCUGGUAGUCCCAACCCUAAACGGUGUACACUUGUUGUAGGGGGAAUUGACCCCCCCUGUGACGGAGCUAACGCGUUAAGUGUACCGCCUGGGGAGUACGGUCGCAAGAUUAAAACUCAAAGGAAUUGACGG